rnacentral:rRNA from 1 species
GGACUGUAGGCUGCAACUCGCCUACACGAAGUUGGAAUUGCUAGUAAUCGUGGAUCAGCAUGCCACGGUGAAUACGUUCCCGGGUCUUGUACACACCGCCCGUCACACCAUGGGAGCUGGCAACACCCGAAGUCGGUAGUCUAACCGCAAGGAGGACGCCGCCGAAGGUGGGGUUGAUGAUUAGGGUUAAGUCGUAACAAGGUACC